rnacentral:rRNA from 1 species
GACGAACGCUGGCGGCGUGCUUAACACAUGCAAGUCGAACGAUGAAACCUAGCUUGCUAGGUCGAUUAGUGGCGAACGGGUGAGUAACACGUGACUAACCUGCCCCUUUCUCUGGGAUAACGCUCCGAAAGGAGUGCUAAUACCGGAUACUCACACCGAGGCACAUGCCUUGGUGUGGAAAGUUUUUCGGAAAGGGAUGGAGUCGCGGCCUAUCAGCUUGUUGGUGAGGUAACGGCUCACCAAGGCGACGACGGGUAGCCGGCCUGAGAGGGGGACCGGCCACACUGGGACUGAGACACGGCCCAGACUCCUACGGGAGGCAGCAGUGGGGAAUAUUGCACAAUGGGCGCAAGCCUGAUGCAGCGACGCCGCGUGAGGGAUGAAGGUCUUCGGAUUGUAAACCUCUUUCAGUAGGGACGAAGCGAAAGUGACGGUACCUAAAGAAGAAGCACCGGCUAACUACGUGCCAGCAGCCGCGGUAA